AGAUAUAUUUAAUAACUCGUAUAUACCUUGAAUAAGGCAGGGCGUAUCUACCGGAAACCGUAAACUUCCGACUAUGAGUGGUAUUAGUA
rnacentral:ncRNA from 1 species